GACGAACGCUGGCGGCGUGCUUAACACAUGCAAGUCGAACGAUGAAGUUCCUUCGGGAAUGGAUUAGUGGCGAACGGGUGAGGAUCACGUGAGAAACCUGCCUUUCAUUUUGGGAUAACACCGGGAAACCGGUGCUAAUACCGAAUACUCCGUCUUGGCGGCAUCGCUAAGCCGGGAAAGAAUUUCGAUGAAAGAUGGUCACGCGGCCUAUCAGCUAGUUGGUGCGGUAAUGGCUCACCAAGGCGACGACGGGUAGCCGGCCUGAGAGGGCGACCGGCCACACUGGGACUGAGACACGGCCCAGACUCCUACGGGAGGCAGCAGUGGGGAAUAUUGGGCAAUGGGCGCAAGCCUGACCCAGCGACGCCGCGUGAGGGAUGAAGGCCUACGGGUUGUAAACCUCUUUCAGCAGGGAAGAAGCGAAAGUGACGGUACCUGCAGAAAAAGCACCGGCUAACUACGUGCCAGCAGCCGCCGUAA
rnacentral:rRNA from 1 species